rnacentral:rRNA from 1 species
AUACGGAGGGAGCAAGCGUUAAUCGGAAUCACUGGGCGUAAAGCGCACGUAGGCGGUGCCGUAAGUCGGAUGUGAAAGCCCUCGGCUCAACCGGGGAACUGCAUUCGAUACUGAGGGGCUUGAGUGUCGGAGAGGGUGGCGGAAUUACAGGGUGAGGGGUUAAAUCCGUAGAUAUCUGGAGGAACACCAGUGGCGAAGGCGGCCACCUGGCCGACAACUGACGCUGAGGUGCGAAAGCGUGGGGAUCAAACAGGAUUAGAUACCCUGGUAGUCCACGCUGUAAACGAUGGAUGCUAGGUGUCGGGGGUUUACCCUCGGUGCCGCAGUUAACGCGUUAAGCAUCCCGCCUGGGGAGUACGGUCGCAAGGCUAAAACUCAAAUGAAUUGACGGGG